AUGGGAGGAGAAGAUCCGUUCGAUGGUGUUGAGUGGUCAUCAGAAGCUUCAGAGGAUCAGCCAGUGUUGACUUCACGGCUAUCAGUCAAGCAUGUUGUCGAGGUUAUCCAAAAGUUUGACGAUUACAAGAGGUGGCUUGUAUCCGAGAUUGGUUUUGAGGGGAUGCUGAAACUGCCAUUGUUGCAAAAGAUAGAUCUGAGGAUGAGUGCGUGGGUUAUGAGGAAGGUGGAGGUGAAAUCGCGUGUAAUUUCUAUUGAUAAAGACCGUUUGAUUUUGUUCACAGCAGAGGAUUUUCAUAAAAUUGGUGUUCCUUGUGGCAAUCGGGCUAUUCGUGGAAGGGAUGGUGAAAUCAGGAGUGCAGGAAUAGAGUUUAUUAAGCAGACAAUUGGAAUGAAUGGAUCAGCUACUAAUAAUCUUAAGGUUGCAGAAGACUUCACAAACAGGGAUAUUUCAGAAGAGUCGAGCAAGCUUGAGAAGGAUUGUUUUCAGAUAUCGUUUGUUAUUUUUGUCAUCGGCUACCUUUUGUCACCUGGCAUGAAGCAUGAGUACAAGAUGAUAGACUUUUAG
rnacentral:rRNA from 1 species